rnacentral:rRNA from 1 species
UUGACCUCGAAUCAGGUAGGGAUACCCGCUGAACUUAAGCAUAUCAAUAAGCGGAGGAAAAGAAACCAACAGGGAUUGCCCUAGUAACGGCGAGUGAAGCGGCAAUAGCUCAAAUUUGAAAUCUGGCUUCCUUGGAAGUCCGAGUUGUAAUUUGCAGAGGGCGCUUUGGCGUCGGUAGCGGUCUAAGUUCCUUGGAACAGGACGUCACAGAGGGUGAGAAUCCCGUACGUGGUCGACUACCUUCGCCGUGUAAAGCCCCUUCGACGAGUCGAGUUGUUUGGGAAUGCAGCUCUAAAUGGGAGGUAAAUUUCUUCUAAAGCUAAAUACUGGCCAGAGACCGAUAGCGCACAAGUAGAGUGAUCGAAAGAUGAAAAGCACUUUGGAAAGAGAGUCAAACAGCACGUGAAAUUGUUGAAAGGGAAGCGCUUGCCGCCAGACGUGCCCGUGGUGGUUCUCCUCCGCGGGCAGGCCAGCAUCAGUUUGGGCGAUCGGAUAAAGGCCUCUGUCAUGUAUCUCCCUUCGGGGUGACCUUAUAGGGGAGGCGUAAUGCGAUCAGCCUGGACUGAGGUCCGCGCAUCUGCUAGGAUGCUGGCGUAAUGGCUGUAAGCGGCCCGUCUUGAAACACGGACCAAGGAGUCUAACAUCUAUGCGAGUGUUUGGGUGUCAAGCCCGAGCGCGUAAUGAAAGUGAACGGAGGUGGGAACCCUUUGGGUGCACCAUCGACCGAUCCUGAAGUCUUCGGAUGGAUUUGAGUAAGAGCAUGGCUGUUGGGACCCGAAAGAUGGUGAACUAUGCUUGAAUAGGGUGAAGCCAGAGGAAACUCUGGUGGAGGCUCGCAGCGGUUCUGACGUGCAAAUCGAUCGUCAAAUUUGGGCAUAGGGGCGAAAGACUAAUCGAACUAUC